CCUACGGGAGACAGCAGUGAGGAAUAUUGGUCAAUGGUCGGGAGACUGAACCAGCCAAGCCGCGUGAGGGAUGAAGGUACAGAGUAUCGUAAACCUCUUUUGUCAGGGAACAAAGGCGGGGACGUGUCCCCGGAUGAGUGUACCUGAUGAAAAAGCAUCGGCUAACUCCGUGCCAGCAGCCGCGGUAAUACGGAGGAUGCGAGUGUUAUCCGGAUUUAUUGGGUUUAAAGGGUGCGCAGGGGGUCUGUUAAGUCAGCGGUCAAAGCCCGGGGCUCAACCCCGGCCCGCCGUUGAAUCUGGCAGUCCCGAGUUGGAGAGAAGUAUGGGGAAGGCGCGGUGGAGCGGGGAAAUGCAUA
rnacentral:rRNA from 1 species